UACAGAGGUCUCGAGCGUUGUUCGGAUUCAUUGGGCGUAAAGGGCGCGUAGGCGGCGGGGUAAGUCUGGUGUGAAAUCUCGGAGCUCAACUCCGAAAUUGCACUGGAUACUGCUCUGCUAGAGUCCGGAAGAGGAGAACGGAAUUCCCAGUGUAGCGGUGAAAUGCGCAGAUAUUGGGAAGAACACCAGUGGCGAAGGCGGUUCUCUGGGACGGUACUGACGCUGAGACGCGAAAGCGUGGGGAGCGAACAGG
rnacentral:rRNA from 1 species